rnacentral:ribozyme from 1 species
UCAAGCGUUGUACCGUGCAACGGGACAGGAGCGCCGUGCUUCAUUCAACUCGGUGGCGUUUACAACAAAGGAUGUGGCGACACAAGGUA